AUAACCGUAGGGCAAACCUGACUGAAAAGCAGGGACGCAAAGUCACAGGUCUUAAAGUUGUAUCCUGACUAAGACAGCUGGAUUGCUUGG
rnacentral:ncRNA from 1 species